GCAUCUAACUGAGCUUCUGUUAAUAUAUGAGCAACUAAACGUGUUCUUUUUUUAUCCUAGGAUUCAAUUCUUCUUCUUUUUAUUCCAACAGUGCUUAAUUUUUAUCCUGUACUUAAUUUAUCGUAAGUUGGGAUUCAAUUUUUUUCUCAAGUCCUGGAACUUUUUUUUAAUGAAGUGUAGUCUAGACCGUUCUGGUUUUUGGUUAUGGUUAAUUUGGUUUCCUUUUUUACUCGGGUGUCUAAAGUUCUUCUCUUUUGUUGUUGUUUAUAUGUUUUUGCUUGAAAUGAAACAAAUGAUGCAGCAGCUGCGUUUUGAAAAGGGGAAUGCUCUUUAAGACUAUAGAUGAUUUCACGCAGAACAAUUCAUUACAAUUUUGAAUUUCAAAUUCAAAAGUUUGUGCAUCUAUCUAUAACUAUAUUCUAUCCCUAAACCCAUUUAACCAUUUUAAACAAAUAUGUUUAUCAGAAACCUCCGCAUCAACCUCUCUUGCCCAGCUACAAACGCGAAGGAAUUUUUCUUUUCCGUCCUCCUUCUCCACUCCCAACCUGAGCCAAAAUCCACGAUUUGCCUCUGAUCACUGCCUGGAAGUUCUCCUCGAAUUCUCCUACCCCUUGCACUGAAUCCUUCUUUCUUCUCUCACAAAUGUUUGAACUUUCGGUUCCACCAUCCAGAGCUCCAUCCUUCACUCUCGAGGCAAUCAUUCACUCUUGGGCUUAAUUUCAAUGUUCAGAUUAUCUUCAUUCUCCACUCUACUCUCGAUCAUGAUUUAUGGCUCAGGUAUCUUCUCCACUGCCUUCCAUCUCUAAUUUUCAUUGGCUAGGUCUGAAUCGUCCUCUUCACCUUGGCUCCGUUAUUCUGUCAAUGUUUUCUUCUCAGUUCCCUACUGAAACAAGAAUCAAGUUGUGUUUUUAUAUGGAUGGAUUGUGAUCAAUUAUUGGUUUUAUAGAUAGUCAAUUCAAACCCCUAAUACCAAUUGUGUUUUUUUAUUGCUUUAUUUCCCUUUUCUAAAAUUUGUGGCAAUUGCUAGGGAUUGAACGUGGUGCCUGAGGAUUUUGUGGCAGAGCAGCUCAAGUCUGUGCUCUCUGAUAUGCAUGUUGAUGUGUUAAGUCAAAACAAUGAGUACUACAGCUAUUAUUUCCAAUUAUUCCCCAUAUUCAGCUAUUUUGUUUCUGGACAGAAUCUUAAACCUUUUCUUAUAUGCAGGUUGUUAGAAAAAUUAUGUACAUGAAAUUUAAUAUACAAUUGCAGAAUAAAUAUUGAGAGACAACAAAUAUAACGAAAUUCUUGCUUUAUUUUCCUAGGAUUGCUUGAAGAUGACUGUCAUUUUCUCAUACUUGCUUAUUAUUUCAUUCUAUGUAUAAUUAUCAAACUCCAUGUUGUGUAAAUAAUCAUAACCCUUUUUUCCCUCAACGUUUCUUUGGUAAUUGGAAAAUUGAUUCCAGCACUGGCUGACUCGAAUUCGAAGCAAUUGAAAUUUAUUUAAGGAAGUUAAUUUUGAAGUUUCAAUUGCUAUUGUAGCUUUCUCAUGAUUUUGAUUUGAACUGAGUUUCUUAGAGCUAUUUCAGUUAUAAUGCUAAAAUUAAGUGCAUAAAAUAUUUGCUCUUCCGUCUUAUUUGAUUCUUACAAAAUUCACUCAUUGUAGAGUGCUUAUCUGGUGGUGAUAUCUAUGAAGGAUGGGGUGGUGAUUGCCUGAAUGGGGAUCAUUGAAGAUUGAGCACAAUUUGUGGUAACUUCUCCAUGCUCGCCCGGAGCUUUCUAGGGAUGACCUUGAAGCUGCCAGUUUUUUAGAAGGGUUAUGAGGAAUAAGUUGAUUGGAGAGUUGUUGAUUAUUUUGGAUAUUGGAUUCUGAGCCUCUUGGGUGUGCAGGGUUCACCAUUAUUCUGCGAGGUUUGUCUUGAACAUGCCCCUGUUAUCUGCACUUUUUGUUCUAUUAUUUCUUCUUUUUGCUUCUUGACUAAACAUCUAUACAUUAUUGGUGCAAGUAAUUGAUUUAUUUUUUCAACAGAUUAUAAGGAAGAUGAUGAAAAUUGUGUAUCAUUUCAAAACACUAUCUCAAGUUGUUUCUAUUUCAUUAUUUUAUUACUUCAAUGCUUUCCAUUAUUGGUUCUGUUUUAUACAGGUUGUGAAUGAGUCACUUGCCUGGGAAAUGUUAUGAGGUUCUCUACUCUUUUUGAAAUAGAAGAUGAUUCUGAAGAAGGCAUAGAGACACAUAGCAGAAAAUUGUAAAUAUGAAAUGAAGUAUAUCCAAUUAAAUGAAGUAGGUUUUUUUUUUCUUUUUUAAUAUUGGUUUUCUUGAUUGAGGCACUUACAUUGAAGAGUUUUUGAUUUUUCCUGACUAACCCAACUUCUCCAUCAAGUUUUCUAAGUUAAUUUUAAUUGUCGUCAUUGCCUGACUUUUUCUAGAUUGUUCUGUACAAGUUGUUGUUGUUGAUUCUCAAAAGGAUGAUAGUACGGAUAAGAUGGGUUUUAGUAUCCCCAGCUCUGCUAAUAAAUAGCAUUGACUUAUUUGAGGUCAACACUACAGGUUUUGGUUAAAAAAUGAUGGCUAGAAUUGUAUAUGGGGAAGGAGAAGGAUUAUGGAAAAGUUGUCAAGGCAUGACACUGACCAUUGAGGUUAUCCAAAGGCCUAAGUCACUUGAAUUAGGAGUUCUAUUCUUUUUUUUUUUUUGUCUUGAACAAGGUAUCCCCACAGCCGACAGCCGUGAGACUAAUCCUCGCCCCACGGUCAGCGCACUAAGCGGUAGGGGGCUGGCCAAGGAGUUUUUUCUAUUCGCAAGAGUUGAGUUUCGAACCCCCAACCACUUGCUUAAAGGACGAAGUGCUGAACCACUACACCAACCCACUUGGUUAAUUAGGAGUUCUAUUCUGAAACCACAACUGUUGAGCAGAAGUAAUAAAUUAUAAACUUUAUUUUGAAUAUUAGUUGUUUCAACGUUAAGUUCAAAUCCAUAUAAUUGAUUCUGUUUGUGGAUAUCAAGUUUGUUGUG